rnacentral:rRNA from 1 species
AGAGUUUGAUCAUGGCUCAGAACGAACGCUGGCGGCAUGCCUAACACAUGCAAGUCGAACGAGACCUUCGGGUCUAGUGGCGCACGGGUGCGUAACACGUGGGAACCUGCCCUUAGGUUCGGAAUAACUCACCGAAAGGUGUGCUAAUACCGGAUAAUGUCUUCGGACCAAAGAUUUAUCGCCUUUGGAUGGGCCCGCGUAGGAUUAGCUAGUUGGUGAGGUAAUGGCUCACCAAGGCGACGAUCCUUAGCUGGUCUUAGAGGAUGAUCAGCCACACUGGGACUGAGACACGGCCCAGACUCCUACGGGAGGCAGCAGUGGGGAAUAUUGGACAAUGGGCGAAAGCCUGAUCCAGCAAUGCCGCGUGAGUGAUGAAGGCCUUAGGGUUGUAAAGCUCUUAUACCAGGGAUGAUAAUGACAGUACCUGGAGAAUAAGCUCCGGCUAACUCCGUGCCAGCCGCCGCGGUAAUAC